AAAUUGAAGAGUUUGAUCAUGGCUCAGAUUGAACGCUGGCGGCAGGCCUAACACAUGCAAGUCGAGCGGUAGCACAGAGAGCUUGCUCUCGGGUGACGAGCGGCGGACGGGUGAGUAAUGUCUGGGAAACUGCCUGAUGGAGGGGGAUAACUACUGGAAACGGUAGCUAAUACCGCAUAAUGUCGCAAGACCAAAGUGGGGGACCUUCGGGCCUCAUGCCAUCAGAUGUGCCCAGAUGGGAUUAGCUAGUAGGUGGGGUAACGGCUCACCUAGGCGACGAUCCCUAGCUGGUCUGAGAGGAUGACCAGCCACACUGGAACUGAGACACGGUCCAGACUCCUACGGGAGGCAGCAGUGGGGAAUAUUGCACAAUGGGCGCAAGCCUGAUGCAGCCAUGCCGCGUGUGUGAAGAAGGCCUUCGGGUUGUAAAGCACUUUCAGCGGGGAGGAAGGCGGUGAGGUUAAUAACCUCACCGAUUGACGUUACCCGCAGAAGAAGCACCGGCUAACUCCGUGCCAGCAGCCGCGGUAAUACGGAGGGUGCAAGCGUUAAUCGGAAUUACUGGGCGUAAAGCGCACGCAGGCGGUCUGUCAAGUCGGAUGUGAAAUCCCCGGGCUCAACCUGGGAACUGCAUUCGAAACUGGCAGGCUAGAGUCUUGUAGAGGGGGUAGAAUUCCAGGUGUAGCGGUGAAAUGCGUAGAGAUCUGGAGGAAUACCGGUGGCGAAGGCGGCCCCCUGGACAAAGACUGACGCUCAGGUGCGAAAGCGUGGGGAGCAAACAGGAUUAGAUACCCUGGUAGUCCACGCCGUAAACGAUGUCGAUUUGGAGGUUGUGCCCUUGAGGCGUGGCUUCCGGAGCUAACGCGUUAAAUCGACCGCCUGGGGAGUACGGCCGCAAGGUUAAAACUCAAAUGAAUUGACGGGGGCCCGCACAAGCGGUGGAGCAUGUGGUUUAAUUCGAUGCAACGCGAAGAACCUUACCUGGUCUUGACAUCCACAGAACUUUCCAGAGAUGGAUUGGUGCCUUCGGGAACUGUGAGACAGGUGCUGCAUGGCUGUCGUCAGCUCGUGUUGUGAAAUGUUGGGUUAAGUCCCGCAACGAGCGCAACCCUUAUCCUUUGUUGCCAGCGGUUCGGCCGGGAACUCAAAGGAGACUGCCAGUGAUAAACUGGAGGAAGGUGGGGAUGACGUCAAGUCAUCAUGGCCCUUACGACCAGGGCUACACACGUGCUACAAUGGCAUAUACAAAGAGAAGCGACCUCGCGAGAGCAAGCGGACCUCAUAAAGUAUGUCGUAGUCCGGAUUGGAGUCUGCAACUCGACUCCAUGAAGUCGGAAUCGCUAGUAAUCGUAGAUCAGAAUGCUACGGUGAAUACGUUCCCGGGCCUUGUACACACCGCCCGUCACACCAUGGGAGUGGGUUGCAAAAGAAGUAGGUAGCUUAACCUUCGGGAGGGCGCUUACCACUUUGUGAUUCAUGACUGGGGUGAAGUCGUAACAAGGUAACCGUAGGGGAACCUGCGGUUGGAUCACCUCCUUA
rnacentral:rRNA from 1 species